ACGCUCGACACCUACGGGAGGCAGCAGUGGGGAAUAUUGCACAAUGGGGGAAACCCUGAUGCAGCGACGCCGCGUGAGUGAAGAAGUAUUUCGGUAUGUAAAGCUCUAUCAGCAGGGAAGAAGAUGACGGUACCUGAGUAAGAAGCCCCGGCUAACUACGUGCAGCAGCCGCGGUAAUCUGAGCGGGCUGGCAAGGC
rnacentral:rRNA from 1 species